UACGUAGGGUGCAAGCGUUAAUCGGAAUUACUGGGCGUAAAGCGUACGCAGGCGGCUUUGCAAGACAGGUGUGAAAUCCCCGGGCCUAACCUGGGAACUGCAUUUGUGACUGCAUGGCUAGAGUCUGUCAGAGGGGGGUGGAAUUCCACGUGUAGCAGUGAAAUGCGUAGAGAUGUAGAAGAACACCGAUGGCGAAGGCAGCCCCCUGGGAUGAGACUGACGCUCAUGUACGAAAGCGUGGGGAGCAAACAGG
rnacentral:rRNA from 1 species